AAAUAAGAAGCUUAAAGCAUUUAAUUUCGACUUAAAAGUAGGAUUCACAUUCCCUUAUUUA
rnacentral:tRNA from 1 species